rnacentral:rRNA from 1 species
GAUGAACGCUAGCGGCAGGCCUAACACAUGCAAGUCGAACGGUAACAUGAGCGCUUGCGCUUGAUGACGAGUGGCGCACGGGUGCGUAACGCGUAUGCGACCUACCUCUAACUGGGGGAUAGCCCGGAGAAAUUCGGAUUAAUACCCCAUAGUAUAAUGGAACUGCAUGGUUUUAUUAUUAAAGAUUUAUCGGUUAGAGAUGGGCAUGCGUCCCAUUAGCUAGUUGGUGCGGUAACGGCGCACCAAGGCGACGAUGGGUAGGGGCCUGAGAGGGUGGUCCCCCACACUGGUACUGAGACACGGACCAGACUCCUACGGGAGCAGCAGUGAGGAAUAUUGGUCAAUGGACGCAAGUCUGAACCAGCCAUGCCGCGUGCAGGAUGACGGCCCUACGGGUUUAA